rnacentral:rRNA from 1 species
UACGUAGGGGGCAAGCGUUGUCCGGAUUUAUUGGGCGUAAAGAGCGUGUAGGUGGCUAAUUAGGUCGGUUGUGAAAACUGGAGGCUUAACCUCCAGACGUCGACCGAAACCAUCUGGCUAGAGUCCGGAAGAGGAGAGUGGAAUUCCUGGUAUAGCGGUGAAAUGCGCAGAUAUCAGGAAGAACACCCGUGGCGAAGGCGGCUCUCUGGGACGGUACUGACGCUGAGACGCGAAAGCGUGGGGAGCGAACAGG